AGUGAACGCUGGCGGUAGGCCUAACACAUGCAAGUCGAACGGCAGCACAGUAAGAUCUUGCUCUUACGGGUGGCGAGUGGCGGACGGGUGAGGAAUACAUCGGAAUCUACUUUUUCGUGGGGGAUAACGUAGGGAAACUUACGCUAAUACCGCAUACGACCUACGGGUGAAAGCAGGGGAUCUUCGGACCUUGCGCGAUUGAAUUAGCCGAUGUCGGAUUAGCUAGUUGGCGGGGUAAAGGCCCACCAAGGCGACGAUCCGUAGCUGGUCUGAGAGGAUGAUCGGCCACACUGGAACUGAGACACGGUCCAGACUCCUACGGGAGGCAGCAGUGGGGAAUAUUGGACAAUGGGCGCAAGCCUGAUCCAGCCAUACCGCGUGGGUGAAGAAGGCCUUCGGGUUGUAAAGCCCUUUUGUUGGGAAAGAAAAGCAGCAGGUUAAUACCCCGCUGUUCUGACGGUACCCAAAGAAUAAGCACCGGCUAACUUCGUG
rnacentral:rRNA from 1 species